rnacentral:rRNA from 1 species
AUGCCCAAGCGGCGUCGCAGCAUCGGCGGGUCCACAGACUGGAGAGCCGGGCUGCUGCCGCCGACCACCACCACAACCUCCUCCUCCUCCGCGCAGAAGGGCAACGACGGCCACGCGCGUGUGAAGCGAGGCGCGCGGCUCGAAGAGGCCGGCGUCGUGCACUUCCUCGCCGCGCUGGAGCGGACGUGGAAGAAGAUGGUGGCGGGCGCGUCGAGGAUGUUCGUGGAGAGGCACCGGAGCAGCCACAUGCAGCUCAUCAGCAACAUGGUCUAG